AUACGGAGGAUGCGAGCGUUAUCCGGAUUUAUUGGGUUUAAAGGGUGCGUAGGCUGUGCGUUAAGUCAGGGGUGAAAUGCCGUCGCUCAACGACGGAGCUGCCCUUGAUACUGGCGUGCUGGAGUACGGAUGCCGUUGGAGGAAUGAGUGGUGUAGCGGUGAAAGGCUUAGAUAUCACUCAGAACACCGAUUGCGAAGGCAUCUGAAGAAUCCGGCACGGACGCUGAGGCACGAAAGCGUUGGGAUAGAACAGGAUUAGAUACCCUGGUAUUCCACGCCGUAAACGAUGAUGACUAACCGUCGGCGAUAGACAGCCGGUGGCCAAGCGAAAGCGAUAAGUCAUCCACCUGGGGAGUACGUCGGCAACGAUGAAACUCAAAUGAAUUGGCGGGU
rnacentral:rRNA from 1 species